ensembl:lncRNA
CUGGUCCUUGGAGUGAAAUAAAGGGAGCUGGAAGAUAAGUGGGGCUCUGAUGCUUGGGCAGCACUCACCACGAGAUAAAGACCUGCCGGAAGUUCAGGCCUCAGCUCUCCUUCCCCUUUUACUUAGUCUGUUGAUCCUGCUUUUUCCUCAGCGAUCUCAGAGGCCACAGUUGCCUCCUUAAUCCCCAUUCCAUCCAUGAGGUCAGGGCCAUCCUUCUUCUUUUCAUCCUCAGGUGUGGUGUGAAGGGACAAUCGGGUCCCAAGGAGAAUGAGAGUGAGCCAGUGUCUGGCGAGUGCCUGAAGUCCCAUGUCCUAGGACAUCCACUGUCCUGGGCACACUAAGGGUGGCUUGUCACCACACAGACAGAACCCUCCCUGUUCUGAGGACCCCUGCUCAGAUUUCACUCCCUUUCUUCUCUUUUUCAUGCAGAAGGCAGAGAAUAAGGACUUUGGAGGCCCAGUGUUCUCCAUGUGCUCUCUGAAUGUAGUCUCUGCUCUCCUCCAAGCAUACAGCACUCCUUAGGGCAGGGCUAAGGCAGAGAUAAAAACCAGGGUACAGUCAGGAGGAAUGUGUUUAGGGUUCUGACGCAGCUGGAAGACUCUGUCUAGUGCCCCAUGUUGAGAGGCUCUACUUUUUAAUUCAGGACUGGAAUGACACUGUGAUAAACCAAACACCCUCAUUGGAGAUUCACGGGACAGGACCAGAUUUGUCCUGUCUGUGCAGCUGCUAGCCUGGUAGUAGUUAAAACUGUGUCUUUCCAAAAUCCAACCUGUGUGUGGAAGACUCAGAAGGAAGAGACUUCUAGCUUUCUAAGGUGGGAGGAAACCGAUACCUUGUCCUCUUACUAAGAAGAUCCUCCUCUUCAACACCAAGCUGGAAGUUUCAAGAAGAGUUGGCCCAGGGCCAAGCGGGGUGUGGGCCCAGCAGCAUCUGCAGAUCAGCUCGGCAAUUGUUGGAGUGAUGGAUGCUGCAGCCAGACUGUGUCCAUACCUGGUCAAGAGGUGAAUCACUGUGCUUCUUCUCCAUCUGCUCCGGCCCAAGGGACUGUCCAGCCCCAAGACUCCCAUUCCAACCCUCACCAUUAGCAGCUAGGAAGCAAGAGAAAUAAACCCACUCCUUCUUUGGACACCCAAGGAUGUGUUUGUAAAAAACCUUUCUUUCUAGGAUUUUACCAACUCACCAACAUCUUCACUUCAUGCUCUUAACUUGCUCUGUCCUGAAGCAAAUUGCUGUCUAGCUGGGGAAUGUGGG